rnacentral:rRNA from 1 species
GAGGCCAUAGGACUGCAGUCGAACGAACUUAACUCAUUCUUUUAGAUUGAGAGCGGUUAGUGGCGGACUGGUGAGUAACGCGUAAGGAACCUGCCUUUUAGAGGGGAAUAACAAUGAGAAAUCAUUGCUAAUACCGCAUAUGCCAUAAUUAUCACAUGAUAAUAGUGGGAAAGGAGCAAUUCGCUAAAAGAUGGCCUUGCGUCUGAUUAGAUAGUUGGUAAGGUAACGGCUUACCAAGUCGACGAUCAGUAGCCGGACUGAGAGGUUGAACGGCCACAUUGGGACUGAGAUACGGCCCAGACUCCUACGGGAGGCAGCAGUCGGGAAUAUUGCGCAAUGGAGGAAACUCUGACGCAGUGACGCCGCGUAUAGGAAGAAGGUUUUCGGAUUGUAAACUAUUGUCGUUAGGGAAGAGAAAGGACAGUACCUAAGGAGGAAGCUCCGGCUAACUACGUGCCAGCAGCCGCGGUAAUACGUAGGGAGCGAGCGUUAUCCGGAAUUAUUGGGUGUAAAGGGUGCGUAGACGGGAAAGCAAGUUAGUUGUGAAAUCCCUCGGCUUAACUGAGGAACUGCAACUAAAACUACUUUUCUUGAGUGCAGGAGAGGUAAGUGGAAUUCCUAGUGUAGCGGUGAAAUGCGUAGAUAUUAGGAGGAACACCAGUGGCGAAGGCGACUUACUGGACUGUAACUGACGUUGAGGCACGAAAGUGUGGGGAGCAAACAGGAUUAGAUACCCUGGUAGUCCACACC